rnacentral:rRNA from 1 species
UAGGGAAUCUUCGGCAAUGGACGAAAGUCUGACCGAGCAACGCCGCGUGAGUGAAGAAGGUUUUCGGAUCGUAAAACUCUGUUGUUAGAGAAGAACAAGGACGUUAGUAACUGAACGUCCCCUGACGGUAUCUAACCAGAAAGCCACGGCUAACUACGUGCCAGCAGCCGCGGUAAUACGUAGGUGGCAAGCGUUGUCCGGAUUUAUUGGGCGUAAAGCGAGCGCAGGCGGUUUCUUAAGUCUGAUGUGAAAGCCCCCGGCUCAACCGGGGAGGGUCAGUGGAAACUGGGAGACUUGAGUGCAGAAGAGGAGAGUGGAAUUCCAUGUGUAGCGGUGAAAUGCGUAGAUAUAUGGAGGAACACCAGUGGCGAAGGCGGCUCUCUGGUCUGUAACUGACGCUGAGGCUCGAAAGCGUGGGGAGCAAACAGGA